rnacentral:rRNA from 1 species
AUUGAACGCUGGCGGCAGGCUUAACACAUGCAAGUCGAGCGGGGACUUCGGUCCUAGCGGCGAACGGGUGAGGAAUGCUUGGGAAUCUGCCCAGUAGCGGGGGAUAACGUUUCGAAAGGAACGCUAAUACCGCAUACGCCCUACGGGGGAAAGGGGGGAUCUUCGGACCUCUCACUAUUGGAUGAGCCCAAGUCGGAUUAGCUAGUUGGUGGGGUAAAGGCCUACCAAGGCGACGAUCCGUAGCUGGUCUGAGAGGAUGAUCAGCCACACUGGAACUGAGACACGGUCCAGACUCCUACGGGAGGCAGCAGUGGGGAAUAUUGGACAAUGGGCGAAAGCCUGAUCCAGCCAUGCCGCGUGUGUGAAGAAGGCCUUCGGGUUGUAAAGCACUUUAAGCGAGGAGGAAUGGCUCUUGGUUAAUAACCUUGAGCAGUGACGUUACUCGCAGAAUAAGCACCGGCUAACUCUGUGCCAGCCGCCGCCGUAAAAC